rnacentral:rRNA from 1 species
CCUACGGGGGGCAGCAGUGAGGAAUAUUGGUCAAUGGACGCAAGUCUGAACCAGCCAUGCCGCGUGCAGGAAGACGGCCCUAUGAGUUGUAAACUGCUUUUGUACGAGGGUAAACGGAGAUACGCGUACCUUUCUGCAUGUACCGUACGAAUAAGGAUCGGCUAACUCCGUGCCAGCAGCCGCGGUAAUACGGAGGAUUCAAGCGUUAUCCGGAUUUAUUGGGUUUAAAGGGAGCGUAGGCGGUCUGAUAAGUUAGAUGUGAAAUCCCGAGGCUCAACUUCGGAAUUGCCUCUGAUACUGGCAGGCUAGAGAGUAGUUGAGGUAGGCGGAAUUCAUGGUGUAGCGGUGAAAUGCUUAGAGAUCAUGCAGAACACCGAUUGCGAAGGCAGCUUACCAAGCU